GGAUGCAUGCAUGGAUGGGGUUGCUCAUGUGUGUGUGCACCUGGGUGUACAAGGGGUGGGGUUGCUCAGGAGUGAGCGAGCACAUGUGGAGUGCAUGGAUGGAGUUGCACACGUGUGUUUGCACGAGUGAACAAACCAGUGGAGUUGCACCGGUGUGUCCUUGCUAUGCACAGGUUUGUGCAUGCAUGUGGGUGUGUGUGUGUCAGGACUGGGAGUCUCAUGUAUGUGCGUGCAAAGGGUUGGAGUCGCACUUGCAUGUACAUGUGUGUGCGCGCACCGGGACGUUGUGUGUGUGUGUGUGAACGUUGGGAGUGAAAGGAUGGGGUUUCAUGCGUAUGUAUGUGCACAGUGGUGUGCAGAGGUAUGGGAGUGCACAAGUGUUUACGAGCACGAGGGGAGUGCAUGGACAAGGUGGCACAAGUGUGUGCUUGCACAGGUGUGUGCUAAGGAGUUGUGUUGCAUACACGUGCACACAAUGAAUGUUGUUUGAUAGGUGUUUGCACGUACGUGUUCCAAGGGAUGGUUUGCACGCCUCUGUGAAUGCAAAUGAGGGCAUGCGAGGUGGUGUGUGCACGUGGGUGUGCAGGGGGGACAGGGUGGCAUACGUGUGUGUGUGUGUGCACAUGGAUGGGAGAAAGGAUGGGGUUGCAGGUUGACCUCUCUUGAGGUGAGUGGGGGCUCACCGCGUUGCUCAGUGGUAGAUUUGUUCAUGGUCAGUGCUAACAGGAAACUCGCACAACCUUUUUGUUUCAGCUGUCUCAGCACUUUGAUCCUUCGCUGCUGGGAUGAGGCAUUUGAAAAAUGAUGCACGUGCCGAGCUGAAAUCUCUCUUGCAAGAAUGAAGUGUAGAGCAAAAGGACUGUUUGGGCCAGGUGACAGCAGGAAGUCUGGCUGUUUUGGAUGGUGGCAGCUGAUGGAAAAUGGUGUUCUUGGGACUGUUCAGCUUUUAACAGAAGCCAGGUGUCCUGUAGCAAGAAUGACUAGGUUCUCAAAUGCCUAUAAACGUGUCCAUGACGUAUCUCUGUCCUGCUGUGACAUCCUUGUUUCUUUUUGAUGUAGGAAAUAUUAUUACCACGUGUUGGGCUUGUUUGCUUGCAGAAGGAAGAAGGUUAGGUGUAGUUCUCAGAGAGAACUUCUGUUAGGAUUUCUUUGUAAUUUUAAUCUGAACUAUCAGGAGUGCUGCAAGAAAGGGCCCUGCCAAUGCCAGGAAGUUCCUACUCAGCUCUGCACGAUGGAGCCCAGUGUGGAGGGAAGUGUAAACGAGGGCAGCUCAGAAUCCUUUCCUGCCAGCUUCACGUGCUAGCUUUUGAGCUGAGGAAGCAUGCUCUGUGUUUCUGAGGUGUUCCCUUCUGUACUAAAAAAGAAGGGCUGCAAGGUGACAUUUUUCCUGUGGCUUGCAGCUGUGCUCCUUGGCACAGACCUUUGUUUCCAUGUGGCAGACUGUUUUGUCUGUGGGUGUCCCAACUUCAGACAUGCAUCUUCUAGACUGACAACUGUUCUAAGGAAGAAAGAAAGAAAAUGGCUAAAAAGAACAACAUUUGAGUGUUAACACAGUGAGGUGAACGAGGGCCCCAGAAGCAAACUUGGUGCUGUUGAAGCACUGUCCGAUGACAAGGUUGAAGGUAACACCUGCUGGCAGAUGUGGAAAACACCUCUGGAUUGUGGUGAGGAGAAAAUGAAACACAAUGACUGAGCUGCCUGCAAAGAGCUUCUGCUGGAAGCUUGGUAGCAACUUGGAACUAGAUCUGAUCAACUACUUGUGUGCUGACGUCCAGCCAGGCACUAGGGAUGAGUCUGCAUAGCAGGGUAUGUGUGGCAGGACUGAGGCUUGGGGAGCAGGCCAGGUGGAAUCCAGUGCGCUUUACUCUUGUUCUCAGUGUUUGUUUUUGCUCAGGUGGGCAGGUGGUGAAGCUCAUGAAGCAAUGCCUGCAGAUGGGGUUUGCGGAGCAAGAGGUCCGUCCUGCAGGCCUUGUGUGACACGCAUGGAGCUGUAGCGAGGCUGCAUC
ensembl:lncRNA